rnacentral:rRNA from 1 species
GAGACAGCAGUAGCCGCGGUAAUACGUAGGUGGCAAGCGUUGUCCGGAAUUAUUGGGCGUAAAGCGCGCGCAGGCGGAUCAGUCAGUCUGUCUUAAAAGUUCGGGGCUUAACUCCGUGAGGGGAUGGAAACUGCUGAUCUAGAGUAUCGGAGAGGAAAGUGGAAUUCCUAGUGUAGCGGUGAAAUGCGUAGAUAUUAGGAAGAACACCAGUGGCGAAGGCGACUUUCUGGACGAAAACUGACGCUGAGGCGCGAAAGCCAGGGGAGCGAACGGGAUUAGAUACCCCCGUAGUCCCUGUCUCUUAUACC